rnacentral:rRNA from 1 species
CCUACGGGGGGCUGCAGUGGGGAAUAUUGGACAAUGGGGGGAACCCUGAUCCAGCCAUGCCGCGUGUGUGAAGAAGGCCCUCGGGUUGUAAAGCACUUUCAGUGAGGAAGAACGCCUGGUGGUUAAUACCCAUCAGGAAAGACAUCACUCACAGAAGAAGCACCGGCUAACUCCGUGCCAGCAGCCGCGGUAAUACGGAGGGUGCGAGCGUUAAUCGGAAUUACUGGGCGUAAAGCGCGCGUAGGUGGCUUGAUAAGCCGGUUGUGAAAGCCCCGGGCUCAACCUGGGAACGGCAUCCGGAACUGUCAAGCUAGAGUGCAGGAGAGGAAGGUAGAAUUCCCGGUGUAGCGGUGAAAUGCGUAGAGAUCGGGAGGAAUGCCAGUGGCGAAGGCGGCCUUCUGGACUGACACUGACACUGAGGUGCGAAAGCGUGGGUAGCAAACAGGAUUAGAUACCCUUGUAGUC